CACUGACAUCAUCAGUUUCAUUCUGAUUGGGCUUCGGGGUCCAUCUGAGGACGAAGUCCUGUUUACAACGUACAAGGCUGAUGCAAGAAGAGCUAGGUGCUGUUGAAUGUGCCAUUAUUCAGCAUAAAUGCGUGUUUUCUGCAGCAGUUUCUCUGAAGCAAUAAAAGGGAUGGAUUGUUGAAUCAUGAACUGUUGAAUCACCUUUUUCUGAUAAACACAUUGCUGGAUGAUUAACUAUUAAACCACACAAAGAAAGAAAUAAUCUGUGUUAAAGCAAGCUGAAACUUUAAAGGUUUUUUAUAAAGACGUAAGAGAGAAAAUGAAAGAGAGAGAUUCAAAUUCCAGUUCAGGGCCUCACAGGAUGUUGGAGUGGAAUUUGGAUCGGAAUGACAGGAAGAGGAAUUUACUGACCUGCAAUUCAGUAAACCAACAAACCCUUUGGGACAAAACAUAAACAAUUCAAUAAUUUUGGCUGAAUUUGCCCAUAUAUUCCUUACUUUGAAAAAUGAUUGAGUUUCCCUUUAAAGGGAAAUCUGGUAUAUUUAUCUUGGAAUGAUUUUUAAAAAUUCCUGUGGUUUCUUUCCAUACUAUACAGUGCAGUUUAAUGCUGUGAAUAUGAAUGACUAUUAAUAUGAAUUGUUAUAUGAAUUGUUAAAUGUCUCUUUAAGCCAUCCAAAGAUGAGUAUUAACUCUUCCUCUGUAUACAGAGAUGAAUGUUGUGGAUAUCUCUCAUAUAAUUGCCGACAGCAGCCAGUAUCUAAACCCUUUUAAAUGGGUGUAAAUCUUUAAAGACGCAGUAAAACCCGACAGCGAGUCUGAAAUGACAUUGGUUUCACUGCUGCUGGUCUUACAUUAGGCUCCAUACUGACCGCAGCUCACAGCAUUAUGAUGAAGCAGCAUUCCAGUGAGACUCACCCCGGCAACUCCAAUCUCCCGCGGCUGUUAGCUGUUUUUACGAGGUCUUGUAAAGCCCCCGAUUUCCUGUUUUGAAGCUCUAGGCAGGAUCAGAGAGCUAUGCCAGCUUUUCGAUGGAUGUUUGGACAAUCUAACGCUUGUUAAUGUUUAAAUAAAUUCAAGUUGGAAAUGUA